rnacentral:tRNA from 1 species
GCCCGGAUAGCUCAGCUGGUAGAGCGUGAGGCUUUUAACCUUAAUGUCGUGGGUUCGAGCCCCACUUUGGGCG